rnacentral:rRNA from 1 species
UCCGACCUCGGAUCAGGCAGGGAUACCCGCUGAACUUAAGCAUAUCAAUAAGCGGAGGA